rnacentral:rRNA from 1 species
AUACGGAGGGAGCGAGCGUUAAUCGGAAUUACUGGGCGUAAAGCGCGUGUAGGCGGUUUAUCAAGUCAGGCGUGAAAGCCCUGGGCUCAACCCAGGAACUGCGUUUGAUACUGAUUGACUAGAGGCCGGGAGAGGGUAGUGGAAUUCCCAGUGUAGAGGUGAAAUUCGUAGAUAUUGGGAAGAACACCGGUGGCGAAGGCGGCUACCUGGACCGGACCUGACGCUGAGGUGCGAAAGCGUGGGGAGCAAACAGGAUUAGAAACCCCAGUAGUCC